AUUGAACGCUGGCGGCAGGCCUAACACAUGCAAGUCGAACGGUAGCACAGAGGAGCUUGCUCCUUGGGUGACGAGUGGCGGACGGGUGAGUAACGUCUGGGAAACUGCCCGAUGGAGAGGGAUAACUACUGGAAACGGUAGCUAAUACCGCAUAACGUCGCAAGACCAAAGAGGGGGACCUUCGGGCCUCUUGCCAUCGGAUGUGCCCAGAUGGGAUUAGCUAGUAGGUGGGGUAACGGCUCACCUAGGCGACGAUCCCUAGCUGGUCUGAGAGGAUGACCAGCCACACUGGAACUGAGACACGGUCCAGACUCCUACGGGAGGCAGCAGUGGGGAAUAUUGCACAAUGGGCGCAAGCCUGAUGCAGCCAUGCCGCGUGUAUGAAGAAGGCCUUCGGGUUGUAAAGUACUUUCAGCGGGGAGGAAGGGGUUAAGGUUAAUAACCUUAGCCAUUGACGUUACCCGCAGAAGAAGCACCGGCUAACUCCGUGCCAGCCGCCGCCGUAA
rnacentral:rRNA from 1 species